rnacentral:rRNA from 1 species
GUGGGGAAUAUUGGACAAUGGGCGAAAGCCUGAUCCAGCCAUGCCGCGUGUGUGAAGAAGGUCUUCGGAUUGUAAAGCACUUUAAGUUGGGAGGAAGGGUAGUAACCUAAUACGUUGCUACUUUGACGUUACCGACAGAAUAAGCACCGGCUAACUUCGUGCCAGCAGCCGCGGUAAUACGAAGGGUGCAAGCGUUAAUCGGAAUUACUGGGCGUAAAGCGCGCGUAGGUGGUUCAGUAAGUUGGAAGUGAAAUCCCCGGGCGCAACCUGGGAACUGCUUUCAAAACUGCUGAGCUGGAGUACGGUAGAGGGUAGGGGAAUUUCCUGUGUAGCGGGGAAAUGCGUAGAUAUAGGAAGGAACACCAGUGGCGAAGGCGACCACCUGGACUGAUACUGACACUGAGGUGCGAAAGCGUGGGGAGCAAACAGGAUUAGAAACCCUGGUAGUCC